rnacentral:lncRNA from 1 species
CAGUCAGUUAGUAUUGAGUCUCUUAUCUAUGUAUAUAUGUAAAUAUUCUAUUUUGAGACUCGAGUUGCCUUUUUGGGCCAGAUUUUAUCAGUUAAGUUGUUUUAUGUCUUUGCAUGGCAUUGAGUUAUUCUGUUGAGUCAGGUUUCCGCUGAGUUAAGAAAGCCAGGCCAAGGGUUCGCUUGGAGCCAGCAAUGGUCUCCGGGUGCCGAUCCCACCCAGGGUGUAGGCUCGGGGAGUGACAACAGGUUGAUUUUCAGAAGGGGAGUAAUGUUGUGAACUCAGUUCAUACAUUUGCUAAUUUGGAUAAUAAAGAGGAUGCAACAAGUGAUGAUUUUUGCAUUAGCAAACCGUGUCGGAGUACUAGAAGUGUAAUUCCACCUAAAAGGUUGGACAAUUACUUUUGGGCUGAAAGAAAGUCAUGUGAGCAAGGCAAGAGUUAGUUAUGGAAUUGGUAUAGAAGUGUGAGAAUGUGGGUAGGAAGUUAUUUGUGAUUCUGAAUAAUCUCAUUUCCUUCUACUAUCUUCUGAACGCCUUUUAGACUUCUAGUUUCAGAUUUCAAAUCUAUUUUCCUGUAUCGUUGUUUCCUGCAAUUUCCUUUGCUGUGUCUUAUCAUAUUGUAAUAGUAUUCAGCAAAACAUAUCGUGAAUUGUUGCAGACAACCAGCAUGUAUACACAAACUAUGAUAACCAUAUAAUGUGCACAAGACACGUGUUCAACUACGGGCAUAUGAAUUUUCGCUUAGCUUUUCCAGUUUUUGUUAAUGGAUUAUUUCAUCUAAGCCACAAACCUGCUCUUGUGAGUGCACCCUUGUAUUUCCUUUCCUAAAUUCAUACAUGACACACUAGUGCACAUCCAGAAGUAAACUGAUUUUCCCUCACCCCUUCCCUACGCAUAGCAACAAACACAUUAAGUGAAUACCCGAUAAAACUUAGUGCAGUCGAUGAAACAACAUUUCUAUCAGGCAAUUUAUCAAACACCUUGUGGGCGGACACCAUGUCAUAAGACAUUGAAUAAACAAUGAUCCAGUUGGUUCUCAAUUGAAUAUUUGCAGGAAAGCCAAUAGUUAGAUAGGAGUGAACCAAAAAGUGUAAGCCGUUUGGCAUUACAGAGAAUGGAUGAUUUCACUACAUUCCUAUUCAUGAUGAUUCUUUUGCAUGGAUAGUUUUUUCCUUUUCUCUGCAGAAAAACCGAUGAACUAACUAACAAUGAAGAAUGACUUACAUUGUACUAGUUGUGGCCGGAAGUUCAUUUGUUGAUUCUGGUAAGCUAAGAGCUCCUACAAGCUUAGAAGCCAGCUGCAGCUGCUAACCCCAAAUGCCCAAACAAAAUUGACAAAGAUAGGGUUUAAGCCACCGUAGCACACUCGCCGACGAAGCCAUCUCUACCGGAAUUCCGAGUAGCUCCACACUUUGCCUUUAAAGUAAGUAAUUCUACCAUUAAAGUCUCCUCAAAAUAGUAAUUUAUCC